rnacentral:rRNA from 1 species
AUUGAACGCUGGCGGCAUGCCUUACACAUGCAAGUCGAACGGUAACAGGUCUUCGGAUGCCGACGAGUGGCGAACGGGUGAGUAAUACAUCGGAACGUGCCUAGUAGUGGGGGAUAACUACUCGAAAGAGUGGCUAAUACCGCAUGAGAUCUACGGAUGAAAGCAGGGGAACGCAAGACCUUGUGCUACUAGAGCGGCCGAUGGCAGAUUAGGUAGUUGGUGGGAUAAAAGCUUACCAAGCCGACGAUCUGUAGCUGAUCUGAGAGGACGAUCAGACACACUGGGACUGAGACACGGCCCAGACUCCUACGGGAGGCAGCAGUGGGGAAUUUUGGACAAGGGGCGCAAGCCUGAUCCAGCAAUGCCGCGUGCAGGAUGAAGGCCUUCGGGCUGUAAACUGCUUUUGUACGGAACGAAAAGCCCUGGGUUAAUACCCUGGGGUCAUGACGGUACCGUAAGAAUAAGCACCGGCUAACUACGUGCCAGCCGCCGCGGUAAUAC